AAAUUAAGGUGAAACCGCGAAAGGCUCAUUAAAUCAGUUAUGGUUCCUUAGAUCGUACCCACAUUUACUUGGAUAACUGUGGUAAUUCUAGAGCUAAUACAUGCCGACAGAACUCCGACCGGAGACGGUAGGAGCGCUUUUAUUAGAUCAAAACCAAUCGGUGACCGGACAGUCAAACGUCCACUUCAUCGUACAAUCUGGUGAUUCUGAAUAACUUUUUGCUGAUCGCACGGUCAAGCACCGGCGACGCAUCUUUCAAAUGUCUGCCUUAUCAACUGUCGAUGGUAGGUUCUGCGCCUACCAUGGUCGUAACGGGUAACGGGGAAUCAGGGUUCGAUUCCGGAGAGGGAGCCUGAGAAACGGCUACCACAUCCAAGGAAGGCAGCAGGCGCGCAAAUUACCCACUCCCGGCACGGGGAGGUAGUGACGAAAAAUAACGAUACGGGACUCAUCCGAGGCCCCGUAAUCGGAAUGAGUACACUUUAAAUCCUUUAACGAGGAUCAAUUGGAGGGCAAGUCUGGUGCCAGCAGCCGCGGUAAUUCCAGCUCCAAUAGCGUAUAUUAAAGUUGUUGCGGUUAAAAAGCUCGUAGUCGAAUCUGUGUCCCGCGUCGCCGGUUCAUCGUUCGCGGUGACACUGGCGUGUCGCGGGACGUCCUGCCGGUGGGCCUCACUAUUCCCCUUCAAAAGGGAAUAACGGCCCGACCCAAUCCCGCCGCGGUGCUCUUGAUCGAGUGUCGAGGUGGGCCGGCACGUUUACUUUGAACAAAUUAGAGUGCUUAAAGCAGGCUAAAAUUUCGCCUGAAUACUGUGUGCAUGGAAUAAUGGAAUAGGACCUCGGUUCUAUUUUGUUGGUUUUCGGAACCCCGAGGUAAUGAUUAAUAGGAACGGAUGGGGGCAUUCGUAUUGCGACGUUAGAGGUGAAAUUCUUGGAUCGUCGCAAGACGGACAGAAGCGAAAGCAAAGUUAGAGGUUCGAAGGCGAUCAGAUACCGCCCUAGAACCAUAAACGAUGCCAGCUAGCGAUCCGCCGAAGUUCCUCCGAUGACUCGGCGGGCAGCUUCCGGGAAACCAAAGCUUUUGGGUUCCGGGGGAAGUAUGGUUGCAAAGCUGAAACUUAAAGGAAUUGACGGAAGGGCACCACCAGGAGUGGAGCCUGCGGCUUAAUUUGACUCAACACGGGAAACCUCACCAGGCCCGGACACCGGAAGGAUUGACAGAUUGAGAGCUCUUUCUUGAUUCGGUGGGUGGUGGUGCAUGGCCGUUCUUAGUUGGUGGAACGAUUUGUCUGGUUAAUUCCGAUAACGAACGAGACUCUAGCCUGCUAACUAGGCGUA
rnacentral:rRNA from 1 species